AGAGUUUGAUCAUGGCUCAGAACGAACGCUGGCGGCAGGCUUAACACAUGCAAGUCGAACGAUGUAGCAAUACAUAGUGGCGCACGGGUGAGUAACGCGUGGGAAUAUACCUUAUAGUGGGGAAUAACUUUGGGAAACUAAAGCUAAUACCGCAUACGCCCGAGAGGGGAAAGAUUUAUCGCUAUAAGAUUAGCCCGCGUGAGAUUAGGUAGUUGGUGGGGUAAUGGCCUACCAAGCCUACGAUCUCUAGCUGGUCUGAGAGGAUGGUCAGCCACACUGGAACUGAGACACGGUCCAGACUCCUACGGGAGGCAGCAGUGGGGAAUAUUGGGCAAUGGAGGAAACUCUGACCCAGCCAUGCCGCGUGAAUGAUGAAGGCCUUAGGGUUGUAAAGUUCUUUCGCCGAUGAAGAUAAUGACGGUAGUCGGAGAAGAAGCCCCGGCUAACUUCGUGCCAGCAGCCGCGGUAAUACGAAGGGGGCUAGCGUUGUUCGGAAUUACUGGGCGUAAAGCGAGCGUAGGUUGCUCGAUAAGUCAGUGGUGAAAGCCCAGAGCUCAACUCUGGAACUGCCAUUGAAACUGUCGAGCUGGAAUCUCAGAGGGGGUAGCGGAAUUCCAAAUGUAGGGGUGAAAUCCGUAGAUAUUUGGAGGAACACCGGUGGCGAAGGCGGCUACCUGGAUGAGUAUUGACACUGAGGCUCGAAAGCGUGGGGAGCGAACAGGAUUAGAUACCCUGGUAGUCC
rnacentral:rRNA from 1 species